UUUUGUGCAAACCAAUACAAUUGACAGUGACUCUAGUGUAUGUAAAAACACCUAGAUGUCCCCUUUAGCCUUAUGAGGCAAAUGACCUGAUGCUGUGCAAAAUGCUCUGUCUAAAAGCAAAUACGGCUCGUUUUGGAGACAUUUGGGACUUAAUUUUCAUAUAAUAGAGAAAUAAUUUUUCAAAUACAAAAAAUACACUUCCUGUAUGCAGUUUAGGUUAGGUUUAUUUUGAAAACACACGCAAUCCAGAUGUAAAUGUGGAAUGGUCCAAAUGCGUGCACAAGGUGAGAGGAUGUGCCGAAGCCAGGUACAACUUUGCUAAACUGCACACAGAUGGUGAGAACAAACCCAGUCUGCUGCUGUUCUUUACCGAACCCAAAUCUGAGGGUCCUGAUUGUAACAGUGGAGCACAGAGUGAACAGCAGGCUCCAGAGAUGGCAUCAGUGAAGCAGGAAGACUGCAGUCAAACACUGGGGCUGAAUGUCAACAUUAAAGAUGAAGUAAAGGAGGAAGAGAUUGAAACAUUUGUGUAUCAUGGGCCGUCUGGAGAGCUCAAAGAAGAGACGGAAGAACAGAAAGUCUUACUACUCAAAGGAGAAGGACCUGACUACGCUGAACUUAAGGUUGAAGUUGAAACGUCCAGAGAGCAACACCAUGAAGAAAGAAAAGCUAAGGGGUCUCACCACUGCCCACACUGUGAGAAGAGUUUCCCAUUCCCAUCAUAUCUUGAAAGACACCUGCGGAAACAUACUGGAGAGAAGCCUUAUUCCUGCUCUGUCUGUGGGAAGUGCUUCAGAACGUCAACUCAUUUAACCACUCACCGGGGAGUUCACACAGGGGAGAGACCUUACUCCUGCUCUGACUGUGGAAAGUGUUUCUCUCUUAUAAGUAACUUUAAACAACAUCAGCGAACACAUUCUGGAGAGAAGCCUUACUCCUGCUCUGAUUGUGGGGACAGUUUCUCUCAACAUGGUAACAUGCGCCGUCACCAGAAAAGACAUUCUGGAGAGAAGCCUUACUCCUGCUCUGAUUGUGGGAAGAGUUUUAUUACAACAUCUGAAUUAAUCAGUCACCAGAGAGUGCACACAGGAGAGAAGCCUUUCCACUGUUCUGUCUGUGGGCAGAAUUACUUUAGCCUGAGUAACUUAAUACGCCACCAGAGAAUACACACCUAGGACAGAAGCCAUAUUCCUGCUUGACUGUGAAAACAUAAUCUGAACUAGAGGUCUUCACGAAUCCACCUGUACCCGAAUACCCGAGAACCGAUCCGGGACAUAAGCGGAUCUGGAUCCAUAAAUCUAAAGAAUGUUACAGGUCUGGGUCAGACCUGAUUUGAUUGUCAUGGGUCUCGGGUGUGUGUAAUUUAACUGACUUGUCCGGAAGGGCCCGUACAGAUCUGAACUCAACUGCUGCAGUAGAGAGAGAGAGAGACAUGUUAUGAUUUAUGUUGCUGCUCCUUCUUUUCACGGGAGUGGAGCGUGCAGCUUUUUGUUGGCCAAUCAUAAGUCAUAAAAGCGGCAAUAGGCAACAGUCAUAGAGCCUCAAUGUGUGGCAAAAGGCACGAGAUAUCUAAUGAAUGGAAGAUAAACUUUUAAUUACAUUAUUUUAAUUACAUUAUUUUAACUAACUAUAGGCAACAAUGACCAGGAGCCAACAGGUAGGCUGCUACUUCAUUCAGAAUAUUAAGUUGUUAUUUGUAACUGUAGGAUGAGAAAGCGCAUAUACUUCAGCCUCAAAUGGGGUGGCAGAUAGCCUAGUGGUUAGAGCAUUGGGCCUGUAACCGAAAGGUUGCUAGAUCGAAUCCCCGAGCUGACAAGGUAAACAUCUGUCGUUCUGCCCCUGAACAAGGCAUUUCCUAGGCAUUUCCUAGAACAAGGCAGUUCCUAGGCCGUCAUCGUAAAUAAGAAUUUGUUCUUAACUGAUUUGCCUAGUUAAAUAAAGGUUAAAUUAAAAAAUUGCCUAGCAUAACUAGCUUCUCCCGCGUUUGAUGCAGUCAAGACGGGUACUACGUAAUCAUAUUUGAUGAUUAAUAACCUAGCUAUGGCAGCUAAUAUAGUGCAAGUCGGCAUGUUGGUUGGCUCUUGCUCCCCAUGACCCUCGCUCACAGUACGUCCCCUCCCCCCCCUCUAGAGCGGCACCUCUCUCCCUCCUCUCGUGCUCCUUUCAGCUCCGGUUAAUAAAGUAGCUUAAAACAUUUAUUUUCUGCUGCUUCUAUCAUUCUGAUCGGAUCAGACCGGGUCUAUACGGAAUGGGUCUAGUUGUCCUCGUGUCUAUUCGGAACGGGCCUCUAUAUUUCAAAAUUAGAUUUAUGCAUGUCGGGUCUGUGUGGGAUCGCCCCAGGUCCUUUUAGGAAUGGGUACAACUUUUUGGACCCUUGAAGACCUCUAAUCCGAACUAACUCUAUGUCAGAAAGUGCACACAGGGGAGAAAGCUUCCUGCUCUGACUGGAAUUCACUCCAAUGGGUUAAUAAUGAUAGUGUGUGUACACCGGUACACAACACAAGCAGAAUUCAUAGAGACUGAAUUCAUUCAGAAAAAGGUACUGCUUCUAGGUGAUUUGGAGGUGCGAUGGCGGCUCGUUGCUGAGCUACACCAAACCAUCGCAAAUAGCCAAAUAAAUUUCACAAAACAUGCUGCAAUUUAUUUAAUCUAAAUGUAGCAACUAUUUAUUAUUGUGCUUUCCACUGCAAACUGCCCACUGAGACUCUAAUCGACCAUGGUGAACCCACAUUCAGCGCUACGCUCUGGGAACCAGCAGAAUACUAUCUCCUCUGAAAUCAGAGAAUCGAUCGGUGACUUGAGCGAUGCUUUCAAAGAUAAAAUGAAAACAUUUAUGAACAUGCUACAAACCGAUUUCCGAAAAAAGUUGAGGAAAUGAAACUGAAUACUCAGUGGGAGUAAAACAACUCAGAUUGGACAUGGACACACCAGCUAGUCAAAACAAAUAAUGCCUCACAUAAGCAACAAUUGGGCCAAAUCUCCACUCAAACAACAAAGGUAUAGUCAGACCUAGCGCAAAACACCAAGACAGUGACUGAAUGCAAAGACGAAAUAGAGAAGCUGACACUCAAGCUAUCCGUUUAAGAGGUCAGGGCUAGGAGGCCAAACAGCAGACCCGUGAACCUGAAAAUUGGCACUGAAGGAAAUUGUGAUUUC